rnacentral:rRNA from 1 species
UACGAAGGGUGCAAACGUUGCUCGGAAUUAUUGGGCGUAAAGCGCACGUAGGCGGCUUUGUGUGUCGGAUGUGAAAUCCCUCGGCUCAACCAAGGAAGUGCAUUCGAAACUGCAAAGCUUGAGUACUUAAGAGGAUCGCGGAAUUCCCGGUGUAGAGGUGAAAUUCGUAGAUAUCGGGGGGAACACCGGUGGCGAAGGCGGCGACCUGGGACGAUACUGACGCUGAGGUGCGAAAGCGUGGGGAGCAAACAGG